AUGGAUCCACUCGUGGGUGCUAUUGACCAGGGCACGAGCUCAACGAGGUUUCUGGUCUUUAAUGCCAAGACAGCUCAAUUAAUCCUUCACCACCAAGUAGAAAUCAACCAAAGUUUUCCAAAGGAGGGGUGGGUGGAGGAAGACCCCAGGGAAAUAAUACAGUCAGUCUAUGAAUGUAUUGAGAAAACAUGUGAGAAACUUAGCCAGUGCAACAUUGAUAUUGGCAACAUAAAAGCGGUGGGUGUGACCAAUCAGAGAGAGACAACCCUAGUUUGGGACAAGCACACUGGAGAACCUCUCUAUAAUGCCAUUGUUUGGCUAGACCUUCGCACACAGUCCACAGUGGAGCGGCUCAUUGAUAAAUCACCAGGCAAAAAUAAGAAUCACCUCAGGCAUAAGACGGGCCUUCCCAUCAGCACCUACUUUAGUGCAGUGAAGCUACGUUGGCUGCUGGAUAACGUCGAAACGGUGCAACGGGCUGUGCAAAGCGGCCGCGCCAUCUUUGGCACGGUGGACUCUUGGAUCAUCUGGUGCCUGACAGGUGGCAGGAAUGGAGGAAUCCACUGCACAGAUGUUACUAAUGCCAGUCGCACCAUGCUCUUCAACAUUCACACUAUGGACUGGGAUCAUGAGCUCUGCAGUUACUUUGAUAUUCCAAUGGAACUUCUCCCCAAAGUCAAAAGCUCCUCUGAAAUAUACGGCUGGAUGAAAACAACCAGCCUUGAAGGAGUUCCAAUCUCUGGGUGUCUUGGUGACCAGUCGGCAGCCCUGGUGGGUCAGAUGUGCUUGGAGGACGGCCAGACCAAAAACACGUAUGGGACGGGUUGCUUCAUGCUCCAAAACACAGGGAACAAGCCUGUGAUGUCAGAGCACGGCCUGCUGACCACAGUUGCCUACAAACUGGGAACAGAUCAGCCUCCUUGCUAUGCGCUCGAGGGCUCAGUGGCCAUUGCUGGGGCAGUCGUUCGAUGGCUCAAGGACAAUAUGGGCAUGAUACAAUCCUCCGCAGAGAUUGAGAAGUUAGCUGCCUCAGCAGGGACAUCUUACGGCUGUUAUUUUGUGCCUGCUUUCUCCGGGCUCUAUGCCCCAUAUUGGGAGCCCAGUGCACGAGGCAUCAUCUGUGGCCUCACACAGUUCACCAACAAGAGCCAUUUGGCUUUUGCUGCUCUUGAGGCUGUUUGCUUUCAAACCAGAGAGAUCCUCGAUGCAAUGAAUAUGGACAGUGGUGUACCUCUGGUGCAGCUGCAAGUGGAUGGAGGCAUGACUGCUAACAGAUUGCUGAUGCAGCUCCAGGCUGACAUCCUUGGCGUAUCUGUAGUGAAACCUUCGAUGUCAGAGACAACAGCUCUAGGAGCCGCCAUGGCAGCAGGAGCUGCAGAGGGUGUCAAAGUGUGGAGCCUGAGCCCAAGUGAUCUUCCUCACAUCACUUCUGAAAAAUACGAGCCUCAGAUCAAUUCUGACGAGAGUGAGUUCCGCUUUGCUCGCUGGAAGAAGGCUGUCCAACGAUCCAUGAACUGGGAGACGACAGAGCCAGCAGGCUGCGGUGACAACGGUUUAGCCAAGGAGGUGAACAGCAUCCCUUGGGGGCUCUCUCCUUCACCUCCCUCUGUCAGAGUCGACCUCUAAAGGUCCGGCAUUCGUUGCUGCUUUUAUUCUUUGGGCAAAUAUUUUGGGUGUCUGCAGAUAACCAGCAGAGACGUUCGAUGGGAAUAAAGGUGCUCGAUGCAGCCACCUCAGAGCUGUCACAUGACUCGUCAGUGGACAAUUGCCAGUUGGAAUGAAGAGUGGAAGCUGUGGAGCAAUGAGAAGGUUUCCCUUUUAUUUGGAAUAAGAGGACACUUCAAAUAAAGUAUUUUCUAGGCAUGGUUAUGACAGGGUUGGAGGGUGGGGCACAUUUGGAGGAUUGAUGGGAUUCGGUAGAUAUUCCAAGGUGAACGUUUAUUUGUUUAAAAUUGAAUCAGGAAUGUUGAGUGUAACAAAUAGAAAAUAGUACAGUGGCAUUUGUAUGCAGCAUAUCUGCAACUUUUCAGUUUCCCUGUGCAAUUGAUUGACAAGCACCUUUUUUUCAUCAGAUGGAAUGAAUUACAGAUUACUUAUUAAAUGUUUUUUUUAAACUUUUUUUUAUUUUUUUAACUCAGGGCUUCCACAUGAUCUCAAAUAAGUAAAACAAAGUCAUUCACUAUGCAAGGUCACGUGAGAUUUUGUAUUUAAAUCCAACAUGUAUGCACUAAAGUUUUGAGGACAAAUAUAAUUAGUCAAGCAAA